UUGGUAGUGAGGAACCAGCAGAGGAGCCUGUUCCCGUGACCUUGGAUACUGCUCCAUCAGCCCAGACUUCUGAAAAACUACGAAACUUAAG